UGCAGCACGAGCAGUGGGUGGAACUAAUCUCAUUAAAUAUGAAAGAACUUCCAGUGAAUUGAGGAAAGAAAGAGGGAGUGAGAAAAAGAGGAGAGGAGAGGUUACUGAAGUGACCCUGGGUUGAGGCAAUGCGAGGCGGUGUGAUGCCGGACAGAUUUCGUGCUUAUAUCAUGAUGCAAUCUUAAAGAAAAGAAAACUCCUCCACGCUGGGAUAACUAGCACUUUCCCGUUUCCCAGCUGGAAUUCCAUUCGCUAUUCAUCAACUGCAGCACAUUCCAGUGCAGUGACAUCAUAAUGAAAGACUCCUCUACAUAUCUGAUCCCUGCGACAUAAGCUCUCCUUUCCUCUGAUCAGUAAAGAGAUUCAGUCACGCAGAAACGGACCCCGCGAGGGGAAGUAUGGGAGGAAUUCCCUCGACUCGGCACAAAUCUGCCCGUCUAAAGCCCUGCCGUGCAGUUUGGCCUACUUCAGGCUGUGUGGUGGACAGAGCAGGUCCAGAGCGCUGAAACCUCUGUUAUUCUAGAUGUUUACUGGCUUGCUGAAAGGGCACAGAGGCCCGGACAUACCCGGAAUAUCUGUCCUCUCUAAGCGCUCUGUGUUUAAACACAGAGAUUAAGGAAAGCUGGGCAGUAACAACACGCCGAUUAAGUGCUCAAAGACAUUUUAGUGUCAGAACGUCACGCAUCGGUCCCUGUUUCCUGGAUGUUCUGCUUGGCAGCUCUGUGUGUUCAUAUAUCUAAUACACCAAAACAAGAGCUCUUCAGCAUGAGGGAAUUCCUUCAGCGCUUAGACCAGAAGAUUAUAAAGGGUCAUUCACAAAAAAAUGUUGAUUUUUUUUAGACUUAACAAAAUGUUACAGCUUUUUUUUCAU